AGAGUUUGAUCCUGGCUCAGGACGAACGCUGGCGGCGUGCCUAAUACAUGCAAGUCGAACGCUGAAGAGAGGAGCUUGCUCUUCUUGGAUGAGUUGCGAACGGGUGAGUAACGCGUAGGUAACCUGCCUUGUAGCGGGGGAUAACUAUUGGAAACGAUAGCUAAUACCGCAUAACAAUGGGUGACACAUGUCAUUUAUUUGAAAGGGGCAACUGCUCCACUACAAGAUGGACCUGCGUUGUAUUAGCUAGUAGGUGAGGUAACGGCUCACCUAGGCGACGAUACAUAGCCGACCUGAGAGGGUGAUCGGCCACACUGGGACUGAGACACGGCCCAGACUCCUACGGGAGGCAGCAGUAGGGAAUCUUCGGCAAUGGACGGAAGUCUGACCGAGCAACGCCGCGUGAGUGAAGAAGGUUUUCGGAUCGUAAAGCUCUGUUGUAAGAGAAGAACGAGUGUGAGAGUGGAAAGUUCACACUGUGACGGUAGCUUACCAGAAAGGGACGGCUAACUACGUGCCAGCAGCCGCGGUAAUACGUAGGUCCCGAGCGUUGUCCGGAUUUAUUGGGCGUAAAGCGAGCGCAGGCGGUUUGAUAAGUCUGAAGUUAAAGGCUGUGGCUCAACCAUAGUUCGCUUUGGAAACUGUCAAACUUGAGUGCAGAAGGGGAGAGUGGAAUUCCAUGUGUAGCGGUGAAAUGCGUAGAUAUAUGGAGGAACACCGGUGGCGAAAGCGGCUCUCUGGUCUGUAACUGACGCUGAGGCUCGAAAGCGUGGGGAGCGAACAGGAUUAGAUACCCUGGUAGUCCACGCCGUAAACGAUGAGUGCUAGGUGUCGGGGAGGAAUCCUCGGUGCCGCA
rnacentral:rRNA from 1 species